AAAAUGUCUCUGCUGGUUCUUUGAUACAUUGGUGUCAUUUCCUCUGCGGAGUAUACAAAACCUCCUGCACAAACAUUGUCUUUUUGAAAAGCAAACUACCGUCUAUUGUGAUCGCAAAAGAAAAAAUGGCAGCCAGCAGAACUACAUCAUACACCUCGCCUUACAAUUGACAGACGUGCAGACGUUCCUCUGUUUGGUUGUCCAUGAAAGGAUUCAGGUCUCCCGUUUACACGCAGUUUCAAGUGUCACACAGCAAACAGCUGAUCCACCCGCCUUCACUGAGGGGGGUACUAUCUGCAUGUAGAGCCGUUGAUGCAGCUUUAGAGACAUCACCAUCAUCAUCCCACUCUCCUCAGACUCAACUGUGAUUGGUUCACAGGAAAGGUGUGACUCACAAGUUUAGAAACACCACGCAGCUGCUCAUAAAAACAAUCUGUGCCAGAGAGUUAUGACUGUGCUAGCUCCAUACACUGUACAAGAACACUGUUGUUCUUUUAAAUGUAAUCAACUGAAUAGUUGAUUGCAUUUAGACAUUUAAAAGAACAACAGUGUUUUUAUAGAGUUGAUAAAACUUACAAAUCCGAUGGAUUUCUUCAAUGAUUAUUUAUCUGUGUUAAAAGGAGAUUUUGUUGUCGUUAGCUGAAGAAUUUCAAUCUAAUAUUGCAUCCCAUGAUGCAUUGCGAUCAGAGGCUUUUGCUGAUGCCUUGACUGUGUAAAUAAUCCCCUGCAGUGACUGCACACUUGGAUGAUAUUGUAAGACUUGCUCCCAGGACGUAGUGAGCAAUCAAUGCAUAUGUAGUUGUUCCGUUUUUAUACAUUUUAUUUGUGUACUUGAGAUGCAAAUGAACAGGAAGUGACAUCGUAAGGAAAGAAGCCUCGUCAAUUGGAGCGAGUAAUUAAUUUAUUCGGAGUUGCGCUGUUCGGAGAUGCAGACCCUGAGCGCACGGACCAACAGCUGAUUUUGAUUUCUGUAAAGUGAUGGAGAAUGAGGAGCAGACUGUUUUCUUACUCACCAAGAGGGAAUUGAUCCCAGCUGAGGAUUGUAAGUGUGAAUAAUAAGCAAUUUGAUGCAAGCAGAAGGUCCUUGUAUGGAUGAAGAGUUGUGUACAGAGCAGGCAGGACAUCAGUGUGUCCCCUGGUGUGUGAGGAGUGAGCUGUGGCUCUGUCUCACUGUAGACAGGAUCUGCUUUCAGGCAUGGCAAAGCUAACUUUUUGUAUAAAAACGGAUGGGAAAACAACAGGACCUUUCUGUAAAAAAGUGGCAAUAUUUUUUUGAUGUGUGUUGGUUAGAAUGUUGUGGUUUUUUUCCCUGGUUCCUAAGACUUGGGAGAACAUUUUUCUGAAGUCCAAAGCUUUGGUUCUUAUUCUCUGUAUGGUAUGAAUAAAUUUCUGUGAAAUUACA